rnacentral:ncRNA from 2 species
AGAUACUAUAGAGGAGCCUUUAGCAUAAGUAAAUAUUUUAGCAGGCAUGCGUAGAAUAUUGAAAGGGUAUAAAGGCCGAAGUACUUAAGACGGCGGUUUUAAGUAUUGGUAGAAAAUCAUAAAAGAUUUCUACUCUUUGGUUUUUCCAUUGGUACUAUAGAUUUA